UCCAGGAAUGUGCAAGGUCAGGAGUCCAGUACGGCAGCGGCUCCCUCCCACCUUUAAAACCACUGUGUGGGAGGAGAGCCGCAGAAGGGUCCAGAAAAGAAGGAGCAAGCGAAGGGGAGGACGCGGAAGAAGGGCGCAGCAGGUGGGGCAAGGAAGGGAGGCGACCCCAGGAGGCCGAGAGGGUUUAUAGGCUCCUGGUACAGUGAAUCCAUCUUCAAGGGGCAGCACUUUGAGGCUUUUCUAGCCUUUGUAGCCAAUCUCGGAAAAGAGGAGAAGAUUUGGUCAGGGAUUAAGGCGGAAAGAUUGAUGAAGUCCAGAUAGUUGCAACAUGAGACGGGAAGAGGGACAAGGUGACUGCGGAAAAAACCAUCUCGAGUUUCUGCAGGAAAAUUAUGAAGAGUGGAAGGAAGCCUAAUCUGCCUCAGAAAUGCAAAGGCAUCUCAAGUGUCCACUAACUACGUUCCUGGGAUGAAAUGCAGAAGUAUCACAGCUCUCAUUUCACCCCCCACCACAAACACUCGCACGACUGCCGCGGAAAUUUAAAGCUCUACGCGUAAGGACGUCAAUAUUUCAAUUUAGAAUUUUACACCUGAUUAAAGACACAGCCUCCCCUCCCUUUCAGUUUGUUCCAUGUACUGGUGGGUUUUGGUAAAUAUUUCCAUCUUCUGCAUAGGGUUAUGAAUAACUUAGAGGUCAGGGAAACCCUCUCCCCGCUUUUCCCACCUUUAAUUGUUUCUCCGGCAAGACUUACUUAUUGU